rnacentral:rRNA from 1 species
GGACCAAGGAGUCUAGCAUGUGCGCGAGUCAUUGGGAUAUUUAAAACCUAAAGGCGAAAUGAAAGUGAAGGCCGCCUUGCGCGUGCCGAGGGAGGAUGGGUCGGGCACGCCCGACCUCGCACUCCCGGGGCGUCUCGUUCUCAUCGCGAGAUGAGGCGCACCUAGAGCGUACACGCUGGGACCC